UUGGUGUUUUUCAGUUUGUUUAUGUGGAAUCGGAGUGUGAUAUGUAGUUUCAUAUUGUUGAUUGUAUAUUUCGUGCCGAUUUAUUUUUCAUCAGUCUUUACUCUUUAUCGAUUUGUAUUUGUGAAAUCAGAGUGAUAUAUGUAUUCUCGUACUUUUCAAUAUAAUUUUCUCGCAGAUUUAUAUUAUCUCAGUGUUUCUCAUUUUCUAAUUGUUUUGGUGGCAUCUUUUUGGUCGGUGUAAACUAAGAGUUUCUCAUUUUCUAAUUGUUUUCAUGGCAUCUUUUUGAUCGGUGUAAACCAAGACUUACCUGACAAUCUUUAUCGUCUCUAAUUCCAUUUGUGUUGAAAGCAGGUUUAACUGAAGAUGUCGCCGAGGAUUCUGGUGCUGUCUGUUUGUCAUGAUAAAAAAUUUAAACAUUUGGAGUUUCACAUUGUGGAUCUAGAGAACCAGAAAAUUCAUCGCAAUGUCUCACCUCCUUUGUUUAGUACUUCUGGAUUUACUAGGAUGUUGAGUUUGUGUGAGUCGAUCUAUAUUUUUGGUGGCUAUAGUACUUCAGAAGAUGUCGCUGAUAUUGACUCUUAUGUAUCCCAAAACCCCACGGAUACCUUUUACAUGGGCUCAGCUCAUAUGCGAUUAGCCGCCAGUGACUCUGUAGGGGAGUGGUGCAAACAUCCAAAGCCAAUUUUCGGACACCUUUUUGCCAAAGUACUUGCCUCCAUGGAAAGAUUUACAACAUGGGAUUCCAUGACCUUGAUCCGCAGUUGUUUGAUCCCACCUCUGAUUCGUGGGAGAGUAUAACUUUGCCUUCUGAAUUACAAGGCUGCUUCCUGUCCAUGUUUGCGAUGCCAGACCCUUCUCACGAUCGUAUCAUCCUUCACUUGGAAAGGGGCUCACUUCCAUCAUCUUCUAUCUAUGCUUACUAUCCUAGCUCUGAUGAAUGGAAACUUAUUGUUUCCGAUUUUUCAGACUGGGAUCCGGUCUCAGCAGUUGCUGAUGGCGUGAUCUACUUUAAUUACUACAAAUGUCACACUCUCGUUGCCGCUUAUGAUUUGAAAAGCCUCAAGUGGUUGGACGUGCAUUUGUCAGAUACUGUUGUUGAUGGUUCUUAUAUACUAAUUAACCGCUUUAAGGAAUUGCUCUAUUUAGGUGACAACUCCUUUUGCUUGUCCGUUCCCUCGCUUCAAAUCGCCAACUCAAACUCCAUUCGAGUGUUUUUCGUCAAGUUUACAAUUGAGCGGACAGAUUCAGUCAUUAAUAUCAUUCCCCAGUCAGCCAGCCACUUUAUCCUUCCACACACUUCCUACUUGCGUAACAUGAUCGCACUUUCUUAGAACUACUGAAACCAGGAAAGGAGCAGCAAUUACGUUUGAGAACUCAGAACUCAACUCACGAUGAAGAUUGAAGAAGCAGAGUCCAGCAAGACAGCAAGUUUAAUAUUAGCCUGUGACUCUUUAGGCACUUUUUCUGUUGUUUUUAAACGUAAACUUAGCAAGCAACUCAAAUUUUAAUUUCCGGAUGUUUUAAAUUUGUGAUUGUGAACUAGCUAAGUGUAGCUGGUCAGUGACUUGUGGUAAACAUGAAUUUUUAGGAUGUUUUUCUGUGAUUCUAGUGAAUUUAAUUAAAUUAAUAAUCAAAUUUUUUUUUU